rnacentral:rRNA from 1 species
GACGAACGCUGGCGGCGUGCUUAACACAUGCAAGUCGAACGGUAAGGCCCUUCGGGGUACACGAGUGGCGAACGGGUGAGUAACACGUGGGUGAUCUGCCCUGCACUUCGGGAUAAGACUGGGAAACUGGGUCUAAUACCGGAUAGGACUCCUGGCUGCAUGGUUGGGGGUGGAAAGCUUUUGCGGUGUGGGAUGGGUCCGCGGCCUAUCAGCUUGUUGGUGGGGUAAUGGCCUACCAAGGCGACGACGGGUAGCCGGCCUGAGAGGGUGACCGGUCACACUGGGACUGAGAUACGGCCCAGACUCCUACGGGAGGCAGCAGUGGGGAAUAUUGCACAAUGGGCGCAAGCCUGAUGCAGCGACGCCGCGUGAGGGAUGACGGCCUUCGGGUUGUAAACCUCUUUCAGCUAUGACGAAGCGCAAGUGACGGUAGUAGCAGAAGAAGGACCGGCCAACUACGUGCCAGCCGCCGCAGUAA